CUUGCCUUAAUUUGGACGAACCCUAAGACUUAAGAAAUCCAUACAGUUUUAAAGAUGAAGCACCAUGAAAUGCAGAAACUUCUGGUCCGGAUAGCUCAGCUGAUAAUUUUCAUGUUGCCACAAUUUGUCAGUUCCUAACGGUUAUUGCUGAAGGGCAUCUUGCAAUUAUAAUAAGAACCAAAAGGGUCAGUCCAGUCUAACAUUGGUUUGGAAAGUGGAGAUGUCUGUGGGAAGCUCGCCAGACCCCAGGGUUCAGUACUGAUCAAUGUAUUGAGUGAAUUGGCUCUCACUAUGUAUGGCCUUUAAAGACUAUCUGCUGCGUUCACCUUGGCCAAGUUCCAACGUCCAACUUCCAACAAUUGAGAAAUCUUCAGGUCCCUGCGCUUUUUAGCACAUGCACAUCCAGCAAAAGCAGAGGAGGCCCUGGCUCUGUUUCAAAGACUCUUCUACAGGCGAGAGAGCAGCUUGAGAAAAUUCAGCUGCGGCGCCAUCUGCUGGACGCGCUGCGACGCUGCAAGGCCCUGCGGAGAAGGAGAGGUCGGGUUGCAGGUGAAGGCCCGGCUUCUGCCCAGGAAAGGCUCUGGCACCAAGGUAGCAGUCUGCUUAUGUAAAAAGAGCUAAACUGCCCGUCUACAAGACAGUGGUCUCCCGUUUUGGGGAGCCCUCGUAUGUCAUAUGAGGGCCCUCUUAGGAAAACCUGGGGCUUUGGGAGAAGAGGAGGCAUAACCUUUCAUUACCCCACGUCUCUCAGGUGCAGGGCUGAAAACUAAAACUGUUAUUUUCCAUUGCUGCACAGGGAAAUAUCAGAAACAGAAGUCACAAUGUAUUUGUUCUCCUGAAUGGAACUGAUUUUGCUAAAUGGAAGGAAUUUUUAAGGUGAAGAGAGUGACAGAAAAAAAAUUAAUCUGGGAGCCGGGAGGUGUUAAAAUAUGGCCUUGGCUGUGAUUUGAUAUAAGGUCACCAAGCCCUGCUAUCAUUUUCCAAACUCGUAAAUCAGCUCUGAUUUAGUUGAAGAUUUUUCUAUUUAGGAGACUUGAGGCCCUUUCCACACAAAGGUCUAAACCCAUUUACAAACUCAUUUAUGUACAUACUUCAGCGUAAACCUGCAUUCACCGUUGUUGCAAACUGUGUUAAAGGCCGUAAUGAGAAAACGCUUGGGGAACUGGUAGAAAGCCGAAUUUUAGAGCAGAAUUACAGUUGGCCUACCCAUCUGGAAAAAUAGGGUAUCCCUGACAGGAAAUAUUUGUAAUGGAAAAAUGUUAUCAAACAUAGUUCUGAGGGCCAGCUUAGCGGUUAAGUGCGCGCGCUCUGCUACUGGCGGCCCAGGUUCGGAUCCCGGGCGCGCACAGACGCACUGCUUCUCCGGCCAUCUGAGGCCGCCUCCCACAUACAGCAACUAGAAGGAUGUGCAACUGUGACAUACAACUAUCUACUGGGGCUUUGGGAAAAAAAAAAAGGACGAAGAUUGGCAAUAGAUGUUAGCUCAGAGCCAGUCUUCCUCAGCAAAAAAAGAGGAGGAUUAGCACGGAUGUUAGCGCAGGGCUGAUCUUCCUCACACAAACAAACAAACAAAAAACAUUGUUCUGACCCUCCAGAGCUUGAUAAUAACUUUCUAACAAAGUGAGUUUUUGUGUUCUGGACUGAGCUUAUAAUAUUUUCCUGAAAGAGAUGAAGUAGCUUUACCAAUAAUAUAGCCUAUUGGAACCUAACUGGUUAUGUAGUGCUUGGUCACAUCAUGUGACUUCUAUAUACAGUCAUUGUUUUAUAUGGACAUCCUUUGGUGCUUCAAUAACUAAGCCCUCAUGAAUGAGACAUACCUGAUUCUACUGCCAUAG